GGUCAAUGUAAAUGAUACAGAUUACCAAUGCUUGGGUAGUUUUUACAACUUUUACAGCUCAUUAGCUGUUAAAAGUUGAGAUUUGAGGACUUGAAAACGUUAAGCUGCUAACGGCUUAACGGUCGAACGUUACCGACUGGAAAUUUAAAUUAACGUUACCUGAAAAAUUCGCUCCAGGUUGAUUUAACUCCGCUGUUAAAAGCUAAUUUUGAACGUCGACACGUUUAUUUCACGCUUUAAAUAAGUUCGAGCGGAAUUUAUUUGCUAAUUGAAGAAAACUACACACACCUGUUGCUGAAAGUCGACGACGCUCCGACGGUUUGAGUCGCUCCGGACGACAAGCAGCGAGAUUUUCAGACAGAAAACGGCUAAAAGGCAGGAGUCCCGGAAGAUAAGGAAAGUUUGCAGCAGUCGGACAGACAAGCAGGAGCGCCUCUCCAACAUUUUCCAUGAUAGGACGGUCUGCACUCCAAGUCCAGCACAACAUGGUGAACAUGAGCAUUGUCACCUCAGGAGACCUAAAUCCAUCCCUGGAUAUGCGACUCAUCUUUGCCAGACGUUUUGCCUCCAGUCCUCUGGCUACUGCAGUCCAAAGCCGAUUAUCUAAGGGCAAAACAGUUGUCUCCCAGUAGGACAAGAUCUCCAUGCCACUGGAAGCUGUGAGGGAGGUCCCCCUUCAGCUCCUCCGUCCAUCUUUCACCAUAAGACUCCAACAGCUCCUGCAGGAUUUUCUCCAGUUU